GUAGUCUGCCAUACGCAGGAAGACCCGCUGAACUGAAGCAUCUCAUUAAGCGGAGGAAAAGAAACUAACUAGGAUUCCCUUAGUAAAGGCGAUCGAAAAGGGAACAGCCCAACGUCUUAAUCCCGCAAGGGAAAUGUAGUCGGUUCACCUAUUGCACUGGUCUAAGUCAGAUGGAAUGCUGCGCGAUUCAGAGUAAAAGCCUCGUAUGACCAACCGCAAGCUUACGAUGGACCGGGGAGAGUCGGAUACUUUGAGAGUAGUGUCUUAAGGGGGUGGUAUGUCCCAUCCAAGGCUAAAUAACGUGAGGAGACCGAUAGAUUACAAGUAGUGUGAACGAAAGAUGAAAAGAACUCUAAAACAGAGGGUGAAAAGUUCCUGAACUUGCUUAGGGUUAAGGCUAUUUAUAGUACCCGUCUUGAAACACGGAUUAGGGAGUUUAUCUGUAGUGCGAGUCUUUGCACGUUAACUGUAAAGGCGUAGAGAAAGCAACUGGCGUUUGCAUGGCUACUGAGCAUUACUGAUAGGACCCGAAAGGUGGUGAACUUUGCCUGCACAGGUUGAAGUCAGGGGAAACUCUGAUGGAGGACCGUACGGGUUAUUGAUGUGCAAAUCAUUUUUCUGAUGUAGGUAAAGGUGCGAAAG
rnacentral:ncRNA from 1 species